ensembl:ncRNA F12D9.4 ncRNA
GGCGAACAUUGAUACUGAACGCCGAGAAUAAGGAGGAGGGUAAUGCAAACAUGUCAUUAAAUCGAAACCGAAAGGCCCUUUACCACUAAAACCGAACACGGAUCAUAAAACGACCGGGUUCGGAGGGAUGGCAAAAAAUAUGGAUAAAAUCUCUUUAACACGGAUCUGAAUAGGUAAAAUGUUUUAGCCCAAAAAUUGAAGUGACAACUGUGCACCU